ensembl:lncRNA KIF9-AS1 KIF9 antisense RNA 1
GAGACACACACGGGCCACCGAUCUGCCGCCAGUCGGCGUGCCUUGCAGCUGUUGGCUUGACCCCAGGCCGGGACGGGCAGAGCGGAACACUGCCCGGCGGGUCCAGGCCGACCGUGCCUGUGGCUCUCCGGAACAAUAAACCCCCGGCCCCAGUGAUGUGGGCCAGACCGGACCUGGAGAGGCGGCACCGCGACCCCUCCCGCAACCCGCCUGGCGGCCGGGGGCAGCGUGACCCGGCCCGCUACCGUGUCACAGCUGGCGACUGACAAACAGCAGGCGACGUCGGGAGAACUCCCCGAGACACCCGAGACAUCAGCCUUCUCGCUCCGCGGCCCUGCAGGACCUGCCCGCCGGGAGCCCCGGAGUCCGCGGCAGCGCCGAGGGCCCCUCCCCCAGGCCUCUGGGCUCUGAGGCUCAUCCAUGGAAUACCAAUUCUUUUUCUUAGUGUUCACAUUGGAUUUUUCUGUUAAAAAUAGAUUGUUGGAGUUGGCUAACAAGUUGAUUACUUCCAGUCAGGCACUCUCUUCUGUAAAGUCUCUUUUGUAAACUCCUACAAGCAGCUAUUUCACUGGAUUUGAAAAGACUGACUAAAAAGAACCAUGCACUGUAACUCUCAAGUAUACAGGAAUAUUGUUAUUAGCUCCUGCCAUAUAAAAUGCCGGCUCCUGCUUUGCCUUUCACCAUGAGUAAAAGCCUCCUGAGACCUUCUCAGAAACAGAUGCUGCCAUCCUUCCUGUACAGCCUGCAGUACCGUGAGCAAAAUAAGCCUCUUUUGUCUAUAAAUUACCUAGUCUCAGGUAUUUAUUUAUAGCAAUGUAAGAAAGAACUAAUACAAGUGGUUUCACUUCUUAUAGCCUAAAACUACCUAGCAUGCCUUUGAAAUUGCAACUGCUUUCUAUUUCUUAUAAUUCAGACUUGUCUUUUCAUUUGUGACCAAUUCCUGUUAUUUCAAAACCAAAGAGUGCAUGAGGGUGAAUUAUAUUACCCUGAAGAGAUGAGACAAUGACUCUGUCUGAACCAUUCAGCUGGUCUAGGUGACUAGAGACUGCAGAGAUGUCAGGACUGUUGCCUAGGACACAAAGCAGACUUACAGGGCAUUCCUCACUGAAAGAACAUUUUAGGGACACUUACUUAUCCAGAAAGGCAUAAAUAAGGAACUGGUAACCCUGAUAACUUGAGAACCCUACUGCUACCUGGUGAUUAGAGGCAGUCUGAGACACAUAAGAGAGUGGUUCAGGCCAGGAGUGGUGGUUCACACCUGUAAUCCCAGCACUUUGGGAGGCCAAGGUGGGUGGAUUGCUUGAGAUCAGGAGUUUGAGACCAGCCUGGCCAGCAUGGCGAAACCCCCCUCUACUAAAAAUACCGAAGUUAGCCAGGUGUGGUGGCACAUGCCUGUGAUCCCAGCUACUUGGGAGGCUGAGGCACGAGAAUCACUUGAACCCGGGAGGUGGAGUUUGCAAUGAUCCAAGAUCAUGCCACUGGACUCCAGCCAGAGCAACACAGUGACACUCUGUCUCAAAAAUAUAUAUAUAUAUUUUGGGACCUGGACAGGUGACCAUGGUGAGACCUUUGAAGACAUAUGUAUGUCCAUAGCAUGCAUAUGUCUUUGAACUGUGUAUCUUGAAGUAAUGUUAUGUUAAAUUAUGUAAUAGAUAAUCAUAAAGUGUCUGAGUCAUUUCUAAGUAAGUUAAAAUGCUGAGAUAUCAAUUUAAUCUUUUAGUUUUUUGUUGUUGACUUUAGACAUCUAGAAAUAUAAAGCAUAAUCAAUUUAAGAAUAAAAAAUACGGCCUGGGUACAGUGGCUCAUGCCUAUAAUCCCAGCACUUUGGGAGGCCGAUGCGGGCAGAUCGCUUGAGUCCAGGAGACCAGCUCGGUAACAUGGAGAAACCCUGUCUCUACAAAAAAUAUAAAAAAUUAGCCAGGUGUAAUGGCAGGUGGGUGUGGUAGUAUGCGCCUAUAGCCCCAGCUACUAGGGAAGCUGAGGUCAGAUGAUCACUUGAGCCUGGGAGGUGUAGGUUGCAGUGAGCCAAGAUUGUGUCACUGCCCUCCAGCCUGGGCAACAGAGUGAGACCCUGUCUCAAAAAGCAAAAACUAUGCAAAUAAGGACAAUUAUUAACAAAACAAUCUGAAAUCCGUAUCUGAAAAGUGUUUCUGGCCAGGCGUGGCUCACGCCUGUGAUCCCAACAUUUUGGGAGGCCGAGGUGAGUGGAUCACUUGACACCAGGAGUUGAAGACCAGCCUGGCCAACAUGGUGAAACCCUGUCUCUACUCAAAAUACAAAAAUUAGCCAGGUGUGGUGGUGCAUGCCUGUAAUCCCAGCUACUUCUUAGGAGGCUAAGGCAGGAUAAUCGCUUGAACCCGGGAGGCAGAGGCUGCAGUGAGCCGAGACUGUGCCACUGCACUCCAGCCUGGGUGACAG